UAAUACGAAAUUGACAGUUGACAGCAAU
rnacentral:piRNA from 1 species